ensembl:lncRNA
GAUAAGGUUACCUUGAAGCACCCCAGCACUUUUCUCGUCCCACACCCAUGUGAGGCACCAAUAACAUGGGCUAAAUUACCAGCACCUAUUUGCUGCAUCCCCUGCCAGAGCCUGUACUCCCCUGUUUAUGGCCCUGACCUAACAUCCCAUUCUCCCCCAGCCAUGAUCCCAAAUCCGGCACUUUGAAAACCCUCAUCCCGCUUUUCUCACGAGACUGUGGAGCUUCACCCGUGGAUUGGAUGGGGACGACAAAGAGGAACAUCUUUUCCUGAGUGGGAUUUAAGAUCACCUGGGUGAAACCGUCCAAAUAAGAUUACACAAGCAAAAUCAAAGGACAUUCGGCUGAAGUACCACCAUGGCUCAGGCAACUAAAGGUCCCGCAGUGAAGCCCAUCUCUCCCACCUCUGUAGAUGACCCGACUAGGGCAGCACACCCAGACUCACUUACAGCCCGGAGCCAUGGAAUUUUACGAAUCAUGAAUCGCCCGGCACAAUGGGUGGUCAUCAUCACACUUCUGAUCUCUUGGUCAAUAGCAGGUGUUGUCAUGUUUGACUUUGUCAGUGACGAUCAGAUUGCAAGCAUCCAAGAUUUCGGCUCUGAUCCAGUGCUAGCAGUGAACAAAGCCAUUGAAGUCAUUGAAAACAGGAUAAAUCAUAUGAAUGACAUGUUUAAUGAUGCUCAAGAGUACGUCACUGAAAUAAUAUUUAAUCCGGUGGAAGCUAUUAGUUCAACUGCUGACUCAUCUGUGUCUUAUCUGUCAGGAAUAUUUAGUGCCGAUGGAGAUUUAGGAAUCACUGAAACAGUGAAAUAUGGGGGCACUGUAUUGGAUGAGGCUACAGAAUGGAUCAGAUCCCCAGUGAGCUACGUAUUCCACUUAUUUGAAGACAUUUUGGAUAUAGUGGUUGCUCCAGUGGAUAUGGUCAGUGAAGCUCUUGUGCAAAUGUUAAGUGGGAUCAAGACUGUUAUACUUUAUAUUUCCUCCAUGUUUGGGGGCAUUGAAGGGUACACAGGCAUCACUGAAACAGUGAACCUUGGUGGCACUGUACUGGAUGAGGUUACUGACUGGAUUAGAUUCCCAGUGGCCUACUUAUUCCAUUUAUUUGAAGAUAUCCUGGAUGUAGCAAUCAUUUAUCCAGCAGACAUUGCCAGUGAAGCAGCUCUGCAAAUUUUAAGUGGGAUCAAGAACAUUUCUUCAACCAUAUUCGGGAACCUUGAAGCUUGGUUUCCCAAAACGAGCACUGAUCCUGCAGGGCUGGCUGAAAUAGUUGUAGAGGAGGCUGCAGAAGUAAAGACCACCGUUUCUAAUUACCUAUCCAGUCUGUUUGCAGCGGAUGAAGGUGGUAUUUCUGACAUUAGCUUUGAUCCCAUGAAAGUUGUCACAGACACUGUUGAGGAGUUUGCUGACAGGAGGGAUAUGUUCUUGGCUUAUCUCUCAAACAUGCUCAUGGAAGACAAAGAUGACACACCGCAAGUGGUAAGACGAAAAGGAGAAUUUCUGCCCCCUAUGGAAAAAGUUGCAGAAAUACUAGGCAAAACACAGGACCCUGCCUAUGCUGCCUACAUUGCUGUGAGAUCCACAGACAGUACUAAACAGGAAAUAAAAGAGGUAGAAGCCGAUGAAGAUACAACUGAAAAAGCUCAAGAUGUUGUGGACGUUCCAAAGGAUGAAGGGAUGGUUGAAACGGCUUUGGGCAGCUCUGAUGUCACAAUUGAAGACGAUGAGGUUGCCUCCGAUGACAUGGAGGAGGAUAAAACUGCUGGAACAGUUGAAGAUAUUGCAGAUGUCACAGAAGAGGAACCUUCUGUUAUGCAAGAAGACAUAGAUGGGGAAACAGAACCUGAAAAGUUUGAGGUUAUCUCUGAUUUUGCAGAGGACGACUCAACUGAUAUGACUUCUGAUGCUACAGAUGUGAAGGACAUAGAUGAUACCUCAGAUUUUGCAACAGCAGGUGAUGAAGUUACUGAAACAGUUGAAGAUAUUUUGGAUGUUACAGAAGAGGAACUUUCUGAUAUGGCAGAAGUCAUGGAUGUUGACGCUGCCUCAGAUGAUGUUAAAGAGGAGGAAGAAGUUACUGAAACAGUUGAAGAUGCAGAUGUAACAGAGGAGGAACCAUCAGAUAUACCAGAAGUCAUAGAUGAGGAAACAGUGACUGAAAAGGUUGAAGAUAUCUCAGAUUUUGCAGAGGACAAAUCAACUGAAAUUACCGAAUCUGAUGAAUUUGAUGCUACAGAUAUGAAAGACACUGACAAUACCUCAGAUGUUGUUACAGAGGAAGAAGUUACUGAAACAGUUGAAGAUGUAGAUGUUACAGUGGAGGAAACAUCUGAUAUUCCAAAAGUAAUAGAUGAGGAAAUAACAACAGAAAAGUUUGACAAUAUCUCUGAUUUUAAAGAGGAUGAAUCAGCUGAAAUGACCUCUGAUGUGACAGAAGACACUGAUGCUGUUACAGAGGAGGAAGUAGUUACUAAAACAGCUGAAGAUAUUCCAGAUGUUACAGAGGAGGAAACAUACGACAUUCCAGAAGUCAUAGAUGAGGAAUUAGCAACUGAAAAGCCUGAUGAUAUCUUUGAAUCCAUAGAGGACGAGUCAACUAUGAUGACCUCUGAUGUGACAGAAGACACUGAUUAUACCUCAGAUGUUGUUACCGAGGGAGAAGUUAUGAAAUCAGUUGUAGAUAUUGCAGAUGUUACAGAGAAUGAACCAUCUGAUAUGCCAGAAGUCAUUGACAUUGAUGAUACCUCAGAUCAAGAUACCUCUGCAGUUACAGAGGAGAAAGAAUCAACUGAAACAAUUGAAGAAGCAGCAAUUGAAACAGCAGAAGGUACUUCCUAUGUUACAACCAAAACGGAAUUAGAUAAUACAGAUGAAAAUGAAUUUCAGAAAUACCCCAGUGUUACAGAGGAGGAGGAAGAACCUGAAAAAGUUAAAGAUACUUUUGAUUUCAUAAGUGAGGAAGAAAAACCUAAGACAGAUGAAGAUGCCAGCACUGAAGAAACAGCCAAAGAGUCACUAGAAAAAGAACCUUUAUUGGCUGAAGCUACUCCAGAUACCAUCUAUAUAAAGGAAAAUACUGAAGCAACAGAACUUGAUGAUCUUGAAGUCCUGGGUGAGGAUGACAUGAAAGUGGAAGGCAAGGAGGAGAAGAAGGACCUAACAAACAGAGAUGAUGAAAAUAACAAUAACAAUGACAGAAAGAAAGAUGCCAUAAAAAGAGGCCUGAGCGGGAGAAAAACAUCAAAGAGUCAUUCCACGGAAACAGAUGACCAAGAAGCGCACACGCAUCUUCAUGGAGUUCUUGAACAAGUGAAAGAAGCCAAAGAGAAAAAAGCUAGAGAGGAGAUAUACAAAAUCAUUCAAGAUAUGAGGGAGAAGAAGGCUGAUGGUGAAGAGGAAGAGAUAACACUACAACAAAUAAACAUAACAGUAGAAAAAGUCAAGAAGAGAAAAGAACACGAGAAAAAGGAGAUAGAAAAUGCUAAAAGAAAAGAAAAAUCCAAAGAGGACAAGACUCGAGAACCAACAAAAAAGGACACCAAGAAAAAACCUGACAAAAAGGUCAAGGUGACUAAAGUGGAUGAGGAACCUCCUCUAAAAAAGAAGAAAUCUGGACCUGAGAAAAAGGUUAAACCAGCAAAGAAAGAUGUUGAGAUGUCCAAAGACAAAGCAUUACCUUUAAAGAAAGAAGCUGAAGUGGCCAAAAAAGAGACCAAACUAGCAUCAUCUAAGAAAGAGCCUGACGUUACAAAAGAAAAGGCCAAACCAGCUCUUUCAAAGAAAGGUAUCACAAUGCAUAUUUAAAGUCCCAUUUUGGAUGCUUUCUUUCGUUUAGAAAUAAAUCACAUUCUGCAAAGAAAGUUAGUUUCCUG